CUGCUGGGGGCUCUGCUCCGGUCCUCACCCUUCGCGUGCCGGCUGGCUCUCCUCUGCAACACAAGAGACGGGCCGCGGGAGGUGAGAAGGGUGGAGCACGAAACUACAACCCUGAGCUCAAGACGUGCACCCUCCACGGACUGAGCCAGCCAGACACCCCCUUAGGAUUGCUCUUUAAGCUGAAGAAAACUGUCUCAACAGCUCCUCGUCUGUGUCCUUGAGCCCAGGCUUACCUUGAUU